GGAUGAUACAUGAUUCCAGGUCUCUACUGCCACAUCAGUUCUGGGCCAGAGACAAGGAUACAUUAUGACAGGCAAUAUGGUGCUCCAUUCCAAAAGGCUCAUCAUAUUAAUGCCAAAUUUAGUGUGGACAUCUGAUAGCAUAAUCCACUGAAGCUAAGAACUAUCAAGAUCAAGAUUGCCACCAAGCAGUCUCAAAAUUUCCUUCUGAGAACAGAAGGAAUAAUCAUCAUUUCCCCCAAAGACCUCCAAGAAUCAAAAUUCAUUUUCA